GACGAACGCUGGCGGCGUGCCUAAUACAUGCAAGUCGAACGCUUCUUUCCUCCCGAGUGCUUGCACUCAAUUGGAAAGAGGAGUGGCGGACGGGUGAGUAACACGUGGGUAACCUACCCAUCAGAGGGGGAUGACACUUGGAAACAGGUGCUAAUACCGCAUAACAGUUUAUGCCGCAUGGCAUAAGAGUGAAAGGCGCUUUCGGGUGUCGCUGAUGGAUGGACCCGCGGUGCAUUAGCUAGUUGGUGAGGUAACGGCUCACCAAGGCCACGAUGCAUAGCCGACCUGAGAGGGGGAUCGGCGACACUAGGACUUAGACACGGCCCAGACUCCUACGGGAGGCAGCAGUAGGGAAUCUUCGGCAAUGGACGAAAGUCUGACCGAGCAACGCCGCGUGAGUGAAGAAGGUUUUCGGAUCGUAAAACUCUGUUGUUAGAGAAGAACAAGGACGUUAGUAACUGAACGUCCCCUGACGGUAUCUAACCAGAAAGCCACGGCUAACUACGUG
rnacentral:rRNA from 1 species